rnacentral:rRNA from 1 species
UGAGGAAUCUUGCGCAAUGGGGGAAACCCUGACGCAGCAACGCCGCGUGAGUGAGGAAGGUCUUCGGAUCGUAAAGCUCUGUCAGUUGGAAAGAAAUGUCUGAGAGUCAAUCCCUUUCAGGCUUGACGGUACCAACAGAGGAAGCACCGGCUAACUCCGUGCCAGCAGCCGCGGUAAUACGGGGGGUGCAAGCGUUGUUCGGAAUUAUUGGGCGUAAAGAGCGUGUAGGCGGCCGGAUAUGUCAGAUGUGGAAGCCCCGGGCUUAACCCGGGAAGUGCAUUUGAAACUGUCCGGCUCGAGUAGGGGAGAGGGAAGUGGAAUUCCUGGUGUAGAGGUGAAACUCGUAGAUAUCAGGAGGAACACCGGUGGCGAAGGCGACUUCCUGGCCCUAUACUGACGC